rnacentral:rRNA from 1 species
UUUCCGGUUGAUCCCGCCGGAGGUCACUGCUAUUGGGAUUCGACUAAGCCAUGCGAGUCGAGAGGGUUCGGCCCUCGGCUGACUGCUCAGUAACACGUGGAUAAUCUGCCCUAGAGUGGAGGAUAACCUCGGGAAACUGAGAAUAAUACUCCAUAGGUCUAGAAGGCUGGAAUGCAUCUAGGCUGAAAGCUCCGGCGCUCUAGGAUGAGUCUGCGGACUAUCAGGUAGUAGUCAGGGUAAUGACCUGACUAGCCUAUGACGGAUAUGGGUUGUGAGAGCAAUAACCCAGAGACGAUAUCUGAGACACGAUAUCGGGCCCUACGGGGCGCAGCAGGCGCGAAAACUUCACACUGUGCGAAAGCACGAUGAGGGAAUCCCAAGUGCUUACUCGUAAGAGUAAGCUGUUUUUCUGUCUAAAACACAGAGAGAGUAAGAGCUGGGUAAGACGGGUGCCAGCCGCCGCGGUAAUACCUGCAGCUCAAGUGGUGACCGCUAUUAUUGGGCCUAAAACGUUUGUAGCCGGUUUAGUAAAUGCCCGGGUAAAUUGUGUAGCUCAACUAUACGAAUUCCGGGUAGACUGCUAGGCUUGAGACCGGGAGAAGCUAGAGGUACUCCUGGGGUAGAGGUGAAAUUCUGUAAUCCUAGGGGGACCACCAGUGGCGAAGGCGUCUAGCUAGAACGGGUCUGACGGUGGGGGACGAAGCCCUGGGGCGCAAACCGGAUUAGAUACCCGGGUAGUCCAGGGUGUAAACGCUGCUUGCUUGAUGUUAGUCGAGCUCCGAGCCCGAUUAGUGUCGGAGAGAAGUUGUUAAGCAAGCUGCCUGGGAAGUACGGUCGCAAGACUGAAACUUAAAGGAAUUGGCGGGGGAGCACAGCAACGGGUGGAGCGUGCGGUUUAAUUGGAUUCAACGCCGGG